rnacentral:rRNA from 1 species
AUUCCCUCUGGCGGCGUGCCUAAUCCAUGCAAGUCGAGCGAACGGACGAGAAGCUUGCUUCUCUGAUGUUAGCGGCGGACGGGUGAGUAACACGUGGAUAACCUACCUAUAAGACUGGGAUAACUUCGGGAAACCGUAGCUAAUACCGGAUAAUAUUUUGAACCGCAUGGUUCAAAAGUGAAAGACGGUCUUGCUGUCACUUAUAGAUGGAUCCGCGCUGCAUUAGCUAGUUGGUAAGGUAACGGCUUACCAAGGCAACGAUGCAUAGCCGACCUGAGAGGGUGAUCGGCCACACUGGAACUGAGACACGGUCCAGACUCCUACGGGAGGCAGCAGUAGGGAAUCUUCCGCAAUGGGCGAAAGCCUGACGGAGCAACGCCGCGUGAGUGAUGAAGGUCUUCGGAUCGUAAAACUCUGUUAUUAGGGAAGAACAUAUGUGUAAGUAACUGUGCACAUCUUGACGGUACCUAAUCAGAAAGCCACGGCUAACUACGUG